UUGCCAGCCGCCGCGGUUAUACGAGUAACUCAUAUUAACACACCCCGGCGUAAAGAGUGAUUAAAGAAUGACCUCUAACUACUAAAGUUUAGACCUCAUAAAACUGUUAUACGUAUCCAUGAGUGGAAUAAACAACAACGAAAGUGACUUUAUAUAUUAAGGAACCUUGAUGUCACGACAGUUGGGACCCAAACUAGGAUUAGAUACCCUACUAUGCCCAACCACAAACUUAAACAACAUCCCACUAUAUUGUUCGCCAGAGUACUACAAGCGCUAGCUUAAAACCCAAAGGACUUGGCGG
rnacentral:rRNA from 1 species